rnacentral:rRNA from 1 species
CACGCUGUAAACGAUGGGUACUAGGUGUCGGGGGUUACCCCCCUCGGUGCCGCAGCUAACGCAUUAAGUACUCCGCCUGGGAAGUACGCUCGCAAGAGUGAAACUCAAAGGAAUUGACGGGGACCCGAACAAGUAGCGGAGCAUGUGGUUUAAUUCGAAGCAACGCGAAGAACCUUACCUAAGCUUGACAUCCCAAUGACAUCUCCUUAAUCGGAGAGUUC